rnacentral:rRNA from 1 species
UACGUAGGGAGCGAGCGUUGUCCGGAUUCAUUGGGCGUAAAGAGCUCGUAGGCGGUUCAGUAAGUCGGGUGUGAAAUCUCCGUGCUCAACACGGAGCGGCCACCUGAUACUGCUGUGACUCGAGUCCGGUAGGGGAGUGUGGAAUUCCCGGUGUAGCGGUGAAAUGCGCAGAUAUCGGGAGGAACACCAGUAGCGAAGGCGGCACUCUGGGCC